GACGAACGCUGGCGGCGUGCUUAACACAUGCAAGUCGAACGGAAAGGCCUGCUUUCCCUUGUGGAUUGCGGGUACUCGAGUGGCGAACGGGUGAGUAACACGUGAGUGAUCUGCCCCCAACUUGGGUAUAAGCCUGGGAAACUGGGUCUAAUUCCCGAUAGGACUGCAGGGUGGUGCCGGUGGUGGAAAACGAUUUUCUAGUGGUUGGGGAUGAGCUCGCGGCCUAUCAGCUUGUUGGUGGGGUAAUGGCCUACCAAGGCGGCGACGGGUAGCCGGCCUGAGAGGGUGGACGGCCACAUUGGGACUGAGAUACGGCCCAGACUCCUACGGGAGGCAGCAGUGGGGACUAUUGCACAAUGGGCGGAAGCCUGAUGCAGCGACGCCGCGUGGGGGAUGCCGGCCUUCGGGUUGUAAACUCCUUUCGACCGCGAGGAAGCCACCUGGUUGGAAGGGUGGUGACGGUAGUGGUAGAAGAAGCACCGGCUAACUACGUG
rnacentral:rRNA from 1 species